GGUUGAGAGACUUUCUUUGCAUGGUCAUCCUUCGCACCGGUUUUUCCCGCGCAUAAUGAGGUGGUUCCCGUUUAAAUCAAGGACGAAAAAAAUUGAACAUAUUUUUAUGACCGGAGAUUUAAAUAUGGAGUGGUAUGUACGAAAUGAAGAUCGUCAUAGGCCGGAAAUCCAUGCAGCUUUCAACAUGGAUGACGGAGGAAUGAGUGAAGGAUCCUUGGGUGAAGGAUCCAAGGUUGACAAAGAUGAUGAUGAUGACGAAAGUUCUGAUGACGGGGCAUGGGAAGCAGGUGCGGAGGAGAGAUUGAGGAAAAACAACGAAGAUAUCAGAGCAUUGAAUGCCAAGAUUGGAGUUCUGACUAGGGAGUUAUUUGAAAUUUAUCAAACUCCAAUCUUUCAUGAAGCAGAUGCAUGUGGCACUGAUGAAGAGGUUGGGGGUGGAGUUGAUGAAGGACAUGGAGUUGGAGGUGAGGAGAAUGCUGACGUUGGGGGAGAAGAAGAAGGUGAUGGAAAUGAAGUUGAUGACCCCCUAGGUGCACAUGCUGAAGUAAGAGGGGAUGAUAAUAC
rnacentral:sRNA from 1 species